rnacentral:rRNA from 1 species
GACGAACGCUGGCGGCGUGCUUAACACAUGCAAGUCGAACGGAAAGGCCCUGCUUGCAGGGUGCUCGAGUGGCGAACGGGUGAGUAACACGUGGGUGAUCUGCCCCUUACUUUGGGAUAAGCCUGGGAAACUGGGUCUAAUACUGGAAAGGACCAUGCUGUAGGUGGUGUGGUGGAAAGAUUAGUUUCGGUAAGGGAUGAGCUCGCGGCCUAUCAGCUUGUUGGUGGGGUAAUGGCCUACCAAGGCGUCGACGGGUAGCCGGCCUGAGAGGGUGGACGGCCACAUUGGGACUGAGAUACGGCCCAGACUCCUACGGGAGGCAGCAGUGGGGAAUAUUGCACAAUGGGCGCAAGCCUGAUGCAGCGACGCCGCGUGGGGGAUGACGGCCUUCGGGUUGUAAACUCCUUUCAGCCAUGACGAAGCCCUUGUGGUGACGGUAGUGGUAGAAGAAGCACCGGCUAACUACGUG